rnacentral:rRNA from 1 species
CCCUACGGGGGGCAGCAGUAGGGAAUUUUCGUUAAGGGCGCAAGCCUGAACGAGCAAUGCCGCGUGAACGAGGAAGGUCUUCGGAUCGUAAAGUUCUGUUGAAGGGGAAAAAGAGCGGAGAGAGGAAAUGCUUUCUGAUUGAUAUUACCCUUCGAGGAAGUCACGGCUAACUACGUGCCAGCAGCCGCGGUAAUACGUAGAUGGCGAGCGUUAUCCGGAAUGAUUGGGCGUAAAGGGUGCGUAGGCGGCCUGCUAAGUCUGGAGUGAAAGGUACCGGCUCAACCGGUACAGGCUCUGGAAACUGG